AUAAUUUUUCAGGUUCGGGUUAAAUCAAGUUCGGGUUCCGGUCUGACCGAACCCGACCCGUUCCGAGCCUUAAAAAACUAGGGUCCAUAAAAGUCUUCACGUCUUUUUCGGAGUAGGACCGUUCCUUGGCAUUUAUUCACCGUUCACCAGUGGAGUAGCCCACUCCGGAUUACUUUAAUGACAAAAUAUUUAAAUAGUUUCGCGCCUCAAAAAUAUUGUCACGCGUCAGAUAAUUCUCCGUUUAAAGAAUGCAUCCACGACGUAAACAAGCAAAGAAAUUGCACGCGUCAAAUAACGCAUGAAAGUGAAAAAAAUCAUCUCUCUGUCGUCCUAACUUUUCCUCAAUGUGCCCAGUUUUCACAGUCUCUAGCACUUUUCGUCUCGGCUGAGAGACAAACCAACUUUUCAUUAUAGAAAGACAGUACAUUCAGUACAUUACCACAGCAAUGGUAUCACCGAAAAGCUCUGUUCACCUUUCAUGUUACCUAUCUGUGUAACAGAUUCUCAUCAAACUAUCAAAAUUAUCAAUGAAUUAACAAUAGGCCGGAGACUGGUACACUGACCCUACUGAAUUACAAGAAUGAAAGGAAGGCAUUAGUUCCAAGCGACCACUAUAAAAUCGACAAUUGAUUCAUCCGUUCGACCUGUCCUACACAGAAAUCCGCUAUGGCAACGCACUUCGAGCACGAGUGGUACUUUAAAUAGAGUACUGAAACUGGACGUAAACCUUAAACAUUUUCAUGUAAAAUAGAGUAAUUUCUGCAGCUGACCACUAUGUUCUGUUCACUCAUGCUUGAAGUGCGUUGGCUCUGGCAAUUCAUAUCAUUGUCGUCCAUUGUCUUCUCAGAAUUAUUUAAAUAAAAAAUUUCAAAAAAAUAUGAAAAUCCUUCCAAGUAUAUAAACUGUAAAAAAAAGAAAAUUUAAAUUUAAAAGAACAAAUUGCAGACCUGUGAAAAGAUUUAACUUAAAAAAAAAUGAAAAACAAAGAGGAUGAAGAAGAAGAAAGAGUAAAUUCUGAGAAAUUGUAAUCUUAGGCAAAAUAAACGAGAAGUAAAAGAAUGAAAUUAUUUAUAAAAAUUCGUUGCGAACAAAGUUAAUUUUGACAGUUGAUUGCAACAACAGAAAAAAAACCGAAACAAAAGGAAAGUCCUUCAAAAUUUGUAGAUAAAAUUUAAUAAAAUUAAUAAAAACUUGUGAACUGAUUAGGAUCCUAUAGGUCACUUCGCGGAACUCUCUCGUUCUGUGACACUUGGUAUGUUUAAAAGAAAAAUCCAACUUAACGAAAAAGCACAAAAUUUUCGUCAAGUUUUAUUUUCUUGUUAAAGAACCAAGUGCACGUACAGCAGCAGAUCAUCUUCAAGAUACGGAACUUUUAGACAUAACAUCACUUAAGUUUCGUCAAAUGUUUCGUUCAUUCAUUUAUUUGUAUGAGAUUCUUUAAACGUGGAUGGCAUUUCAAACAGCCUUGAAGAUGAUCUAUUAUUCGCUAAGAGCUCGUACAGUAAUUCUUCGUUAAGUUUAACCAGUGUAUUUUGACAAGUCUACCCAUAUAAGAGCUCGUUCAGAAACUCUUCGUUAAGUUUCACUGGUGAGGAUUUUGACACUUCUUUCAUCUAAAAUAUGUCAAAAUCUUCACUUUGGGUAACGAAUUUUUAGUUCAUGAACGAACUAAUAUGGGUAGACCUGUCAAAAUUUUCACAGUGAACUUCACCGGGCAUUACUAGAGGGACUCUAACAUUCCCUAGUUAAUUUUUUACAGUUUUAACAAGGCCAGCCAUAUUGCAGACAUUGAUAGAGAUGGAUAGUGAACUGUGACAGUUCUCACCUAACGAAAAACAAUAGCUGUACGUGCCCCAGAGCUCGUUCAGAAACUCUUCGUUAAGUUUCACUGGUGAGGAUUUUGACACUUCUUUCAUAAUAUUCUUUCUAAAAUAUGUCAAAAUCUUCACUUUGGGUAACGAAUUUUUAGUUCCUGAACGAGUUCCCAAGUGUCUUAGAAGUUGACAGUUCCGCGAAGUGAGCUAUACCUAAUUUAAAAUUGAAAAAAAAAAAUGUUUAAUGAAGUGGCUUAGAAACACCCACGAAUGGUUGGCACUUUAUUAAAAAUAAAAAACAGUAAAAAGAGAGGAGAAACGGAAAGCAUUCCUGUUAAACUAAGUCAUUUUUGUAU